UUUCUAUAUAUAUUUUAAAUGUAAUACAAUAUUUUUCUUGAUCCAACAGAAUCUACAUUUUCCAUUAAUAUUUUCUUGAAAUAAAGGAACUUUACUAACAAAAAUCUUAGUAAUCAGAAGGAAAUAAACUUUCUUAAAUCAAUUGUAUACGUUGCGAUAUAAAGUAGAGACUUAGUUCGAUUUUACAGAAACCACUCAAGGGAUGGGGCUGUUAGAGGGUGGAGAAAGUGUGGCACACAGAGAGACAGAAUCCCGGAUGGAGACAAGUGAUGCGGCUGCGAAGGAAAAAGUUAACGAACUCCUGGCGAACGCGUCGCGACGAAGGAGCUUGCCUGAUAAAUAGCGCAGGAUGAUGGGGAAAUGGCUGUAAGGACGUGAAAUGCGCGACCGACAGGCGUUCGGUGAACGUCGAUGAUGUAUGGGAUAGAUAACUUCGAAGGGUGACUAG
rnacentral:misc_RNA from 1 species